rnacentral:rRNA from 1 species
GAUGAACGCUAGCUACAGGCUUAACACAUGCAAGUCGAGGGGCAGCAUGGUCUUAGCUUGCUAAGGCCGAUGGCGACCGGCGCACGGGUGAGUAACACGUAUCCAACCUGCCGUCUACUCUUGGACAGCCUUCUGAAAGGAAGAUUAAUACAAGAUGGCAUCAUGAGUCCGCAUGUUCACAUGAUUAAAGGUAUUCCGGUAGACGAUGGGGAUGCGUUCCAUUAGAUAGUAGGCGGGGUAACGGCCCACCUAGUCUUCGAUGGAUAGGGGUUCUGAGAGGAAGGUCCCCCACAUUGGAACUGAGACACGGUCCAAACUCCUACGGGAGGCAGCAGUGAGGAAUAUUGGUCAAUGGGCGAGAGCCUGAACCAGCCAAGUAGCGUGAAGGAUGACUGCCCUAUGGGUUGUAAACUUCUUUUAUAAAGGAAUAAAGUCGGGUAUGGAUACCCGUUUGCAUGUACUUUAUGAAUAAGGAUCGGCUAACUCCGUGCCAGCAGCCGCGGUAAUACGGAGGAUCCGAGCGUUAUCCGGAUUUAUUGGGUUUAAAGGGAGCGUAGAUGGAUGUUUAAGUCAGUUGUGAAAGUUUGCGGCUCAACCGUAAAAUUGCAGUUGAUACUGGAUAUCUUGAGUGCAGUUGAGGGUAGGCGGAAUUCGUGGUGUAGCGGUGAAAUGCUUAGAUAUCACGAAGAACUCCGAUUGCGAAGGCAGCCUGCUAAGCUGCAACUGACAUUGAGGCUCGAAAGUGUGGGUAUCAAACAGGAUUAGAUACCCUGGUAGUCCACACGGUAAACGAUGAAUACUCGCUGUUUGCGAUAUACAGCAAGCGGCCAAGCGAAAGCGUUAAGUAUUCCACCUGGGGAGUACGCCGGCAACGGUGAAACUCAAAGGAAUUGACGGGGGCCCGCACAAGCGGAGGAACAUGUGGUUUAAUUCGAUGAUACGCGAGGAACCUUACCCGGGCUUAAAUUGCAGAUGAAUUACGGUGAAAGCCGUAAGCCGCAAGGCAUCUGUGAAGGUGCUGCAUGGUUGUCGUCAGCUCGUGCCGUGAGGUGUCGGCUUAAGUGCCAUAACGAGCGCAAUCCUUGUUGUCAGUUACUAACAGGUUCCGCUGAGGACUCUGACAAGACUGCCAUCGUAAGAUGUGAGGAAGGUGGGGAUGACGUCAAAUCAGCACGGCCCUUACGUCCGGGGCUACACACGUGUUACAAUGGGGGGUACAGAGGGCCGCUACCACGCGAGUGGAUGCCAAUCCCCAAAACCUCUCUCAGUUCGGACUGGAGUCUGCAACCCGACUCCACGAAGCUGGAUUCGCUAGUAAUCGCGCAUCAGCCACGGCGCGGUGAAUACGUUCCCGGGCCUUGUACACACCGCCCGUCAAGCCAUGGGAGCCGGGGGUACCUGAAGUGCGUAACCGCGAGGAGCGCCCUAGGGUAAAACUGGUGACUGGGGCUAA